rnacentral:rRNA from 1 species
GACGAACGCUGGCGGCGUGCUUAACACAUGCAAGUCGAACGGAAAGGCCCUGCUUUUGUGGGGUGCUCGAGUGGCGAACGGGUGAGUAACACGUGAGUAACCUGCCCUUGACUUUGGGAUAACUUCAGGAAACUGGGGCUAAUACCGGAUAGGAGCUCCUGCUGCAUGGUGGGGGUUGGAAAGUUUCGGCGGUUGGUGAUGGACUCGCGGCUUAUCAGCUUGUUGGUGGGGUAGUGGCUUACCAAGGCUUUGACGGGUAGCCGGCCUGAGAGGGUGACCGGCCACAUUGGGACUGAGAUACGGCCCAGACUCCUUCGGGAGGCAGCAGUGGGGAAUAUUGCACAAUGGGCGGAAGCCUGAUGCAGCAACGCCGCGUGCGGGAUGACGGCCUUCGGGUUGUAAACCGCUGUCGCCUGUGACGAAGCGUGAGUGACGGUAAUGGGUAAAGAAGCACCGGCUAACUACGUG